rnacentral:rRNA from 1 species
UUGAACGCUGGCGGCAGGCCUAACACAUGCAAGUCGAGCGGUAGCACAGAGAGCUUGCUCUCGGGUGACGAGCGGCGGACGGGUGAGUAAUGUCUGGGAAACUGCCUGAUGGAGGGGGAUAACUACUGGAAACGGUAGCUAAUACCGCAUAAUGUCGCAAGACCAAAGUGGGGGACCUUCGGGCCUCAUGCCAUCAGAUGUGCCCAGAUGGGAUUAGCUAGUAGGUGGGGUAACGGCUCACCUAGGCGACGAUCCCUAGCUGGUCUGAGAGGAUGACCAGCCACACUGGAACUGAGACACGGUCCAGACUCCUACGGGAGGCAGCAGUGGGGAAUAUUGCACAAUGGGCGCAAGCCUGAUGCAGCCAUGCCGCGUGUGUGAAGAAGGCCUUCGGGUUGUAAAGCACUUUCAGCGGGGAGGAAGGCGUUAAGGUUAAUAACCUUGGCGAUUGACGUUACCCGCAGAAGAAGCACCGGCUAACUCCGUGCCAGCAGCCGCGGUAAUACGGAGGGUGCAAGCGUUAAUCGGAAUUACUGGGCGUAAAGCGCACGCAGGCGGUCUGUCAAGUCGGAUGUGAAAUCCCCGGGCUCAACCUGGGAACUGCAUUCGAAACUGGCAGGCUAGAGUCUUGUAGAGGGGGGUAGAAUUCCAGGUGUAGCGGUGAAAUGCGUAGAGAUCUGGAGGAAUACCGGUGGCGAAGGCGGCCCCCUGGACAAAGACUGACGCUCAGGUGCGAAAGCGUGGGGAGCAAACAGGAUUAGAUACCCUGGUAGUCCACGCCAUAAACGAUGUCGAUUUGGAGGUUGUGCCCUUGAGGCGUGGCUUCCGGAGCUAACGCGUUAAAUCGACCGCCUGGGGAGUACGGCCGCAAGGUUAAAACUCAAAUGAAUUGACGGGGGCCCGCACAAGCGGUGGAGCAUGUGGUUUAAUUCGAUGCAACGCGAAGAACCUUACCUGGUCUUGACAUCCACAGAACUUUCCAGAGAUGGAUUGGUGCCUUCGGGAACUGUGAGACAGGUGCUGCAUGGCUGUCGUCAGCUCGUGUUGUGAAAUGUUGGGUUAAGUCCCGCAACGAGCGCAACCCUUAUCCUUUGUUGCCAGCGGUCCGGCCGGGAACUCAAAGGAGACUGCCAGUGAUAAACUGGAGGAAGGUGGGGAUGACGUCAAGUCAUCAUGGCCCUUACGACCAGGGCUACACACGUGCUACAAUGGCAUAUACAAAGAGAAGCGACCUCGCGAGAGCAAGCGGACCUCAUAAAGUAUGUCGUAGUCCGGAUUGGAGUCUGCAACUCGACUCCAUGAAGUCGGAAUCGCUAGUAAUCGUAGAUCAGAAUGCUACGGUGAAUACGUUCCCGGGCCUUGUACACACCGCCCGUCACACCAUGGGAGUGGGUUGCAAAAGAAGUAGGUAGCUUAACCUUCGGGAGGGCGCUUACCACUUUGUGAUUCAUGACUGGGGUG